UACGUAGGGAGCGAGCGUUGUUCGGAGUUACUGGGCGUAAAGAGUGCGUAGGCGGUUUUCUAAGUUUGGUGUGAAAUCUCCCGGCUUAACUGGGAGGGUGCGCCGAAGACUGGAAGGCUUGAGUAUGGGAGAGGUAAGCGGAAUUCCUGGUGUAGCGGUGGAAUGCGCAGAUAUCAGGAGGAACACCAAUAGCGAAGGCAGCUCGCUGGGACGGUACUGACGCUAAGGCGCGAAAGCGUGGGGAGCGAACAGG
rnacentral:rRNA from 1 species